rnacentral:tRNA from 1 species
GGGGUUGUGGCUCAGUGGUAGAGCGCUCUCCUAAUAUGGGUGGGACCUGGGUUCGAUCCUCAGCACCACA